UGACCCGUACGGGAUUUGAACCCAUGUUACCGCCGUGAAAGGGCGGUGUCUUAACCACUUGACCAACGGGCC
rnacentral:tRNA from 1 species